CGGGCAAGCACGGCACGCCGCGGCGACCCCCAACGCGCGCACGAGCUCGCGUGCACCCGCGUGCCCCGCGGCUCCCGGAAAGCCUCGACCAAGUUUCCGCGCCCACUGCUCCCGCCCUGACCCACUGGGACGGGCGGGGCGGAGCCCAAAGAAAACUCAGUGCCUGCGCCCUCUGCUGGAGAAGAGAGGAAUGGAAGGAAAGAGAACCCUCGCUGCUGGUCAUCUGGAGGCUGCCAUCUCUCUCCUAAGCAUGAGAAAGGUAGAGGAUUUGCCAGAAACCUGAGCACCCUUCAGGAUACUUUGACACUGACUCCUGUGUCAAUUUCCUGGGAGAAGCACAGCUGCCAUCUCAAAGAACAAAAGACAGCAACCCAAUCUCUGAAAGCCUGUCCCAUCCCCCAGGCAGGGGUCAGCGGAGCCAUCCAUAUCUGCAGAGAGCAGUCCCCAUACCCUGACCUCUCCAUACCUCUAACCUCCCGUCUGUCCAUCAGAGAAGUGGCCAAGGGCCCAGCAGCUCUUUUCCCCAGAGGGAAACAAAGAGAGGAACUGAAAACCACCCUACGUUUUAUAUAUAUUUUUUAAUAGCUCAAAAUCCAGCCCAGAGAAGAUGAGUACAGUUUUCUAAUUCCAGAAAUCUGAGAGCCACAUACCUCUAGGCCUUUGCAAAGCUGUUUUUCCUGCCAAGAAAGACGCACAUACACCACACACACACACACACACACACACACACACACACACACACACACACACACCACCUGAUUCUACUAACCUUACCAGACCAAUUCCUCCCAUCCAGCAAACCUUUCAAGCUUAGAAGUCCCUUCUUGACCCUUCCAGGCAUCAGCAAUAGGCAGGCUCCACUUCCUGAUGGUAGCCCCCUGGCCCUGGAUUGCAGCAGCCUUUGCUGCCCUCCUAUUUUCUUCUAGAAGACUGGACCCUGACAGGAAACGCCUCAGGCCAGGGCCAGGGCUUGGUGCCUCACACUUUGCUGAACCCACACCAAUCUUGUAAAAGUUAAAAAGCAACACACAUGGGCCACACUGAGCCAGACUUCCUCCCGUGUGAGUUAAUGAUAAGUCAGAGACACCUACAACCAGAAAAAUAUUUAUUAUUCAUCGUCCUAAGCAACGGUUGUUUUCCUUUUUCUUUUCUCCCCCUCCUCCCUUUUCU
rnacentral:lncRNA from 1 species